rnacentral:ncRNA from 1 species
GAUUCUCUGGAGAGUCUCAGGAUUCCACCCUGAGCGCCGAAGGUGUACGCGUCAGACUGCAGCCGAGAAAGGUAGCCGGCGUAAUCUCUCAGGCAAAAGGACAGAGCAGA